UACAGAGGUCUCAAGCGUUGUUCGGAUUCAUUGGGCGUAAAGGGUGCGUAGGCGGCGCGGUAAGUCGGGUGUGAAAUCUUGGAGCUUAACUCCGAAACUGCAUUCGAUACUGCCGUGCUUGAGGACUGGAGAGGAGACUGGAAUUUACGGUGUAGCGGUGAAAUGCGUAGAUAUCGUAAGGAAGACCAGUGGCGAAGGCGGGUCUCUGGGCAGUUCCUGACGCUGAGGCGCGAAGGCCAGGGGAGCAAACAGG
rnacentral:rRNA from 1 species